UACGUAGGGGCGAGCGUUGUCCGGAAUCAUUGGGCGUAAAGAGCGUGUAGGCGGCUUGGCAAGUCUGACGUGAAAGCCGCGGCUCAACCGCGGAUUGUCGUUGGAAACUGCCUCGCUAGAGUCCGGAAGAGGAGAGCGGAAUUCCUGGUGUAAGCGGUGGAAUGCGCAGAUAUCAGGAAGAACACCGUGGCGAAGGCGGCUCUCUGGGACGGUACUGACGCUGAGACGCGAAGCGUGGGGAGCAACAGG
rnacentral:rRNA from 1 species